rnacentral:lncRNA from 1 species
GCCAUUCCUAAACACCAGAGCUGUCAUCUACGCUAAUGCUGCCAAGAUCAGUCUCUACAUCAAGGGGAAGAAGGAGACUUUCCUUCAAGAACAAGACUACAUAAACUUCAGAGCAAUCCCGACAUGAACCAAGGAAGAGGACCAACAGGAGGAACAGGAACAAGCAAAUGUGGACCGAGUCAUUUAAGAUGGUCAAUACAGCUCAAGGAGGUCAAGAUCGUCGACUCAAGUCACCUUUCUUGAUCAAGAAGGACGACCCUGGUGUUCCAAGCAUCGAGUGCACAACCAACAGAUACUCUUUUUAGAAAACACUCUACGACACCGGAUCUAACGUCAACAUAAUGGCCGCAGUCACUUAUCAGCUCCUGCAUGGAACCAUGCCCCUACAACCAAUAUAUAUUUAGCUCCAGAUGAUUUUCAGAACAUUGACAUGGGAGAAGACGAGUACGAUCCACCCAUCAUCCUAGGAAGACCAUUCCUCAACACUAUCAAAGUUAUCAUCUACAUUGGAACCGGAGAAGUCCACGUGUAUUUCCCCUCUGAGAAGGUACGCCAUUACUUUAAUGAUUCUAACUAUAUAGUUGAAGAUUCUAAGCAGGUCAGGACAAGAAGAAGACGACGCAACCGCAACCAGAGGAGGCAAAUCAUCAAGGACGGAUGGGCAGACUACGAAGGAGAAGUUGUAAGAUCAGAAGACGUUGAGUUUAAACAGAAUUAUCCAGAGGAGACCGAAACACCAAGUCAGGUGUGGAAAAUGAAGAUAACUAUGCAUGAAGAGGAGGCGCUGCCGGAAGUACCGACUACGCCACCCAACGAACCUCAGGAUAAUUGAGAAGGAGGAGAGUCCCGUUUGGAGGACUUAAAAACACCGAACGCCUUGCCAAGAGGUAAACUUGGUAGUUAUCCUUUCCCUUUCAAUUAUUUCAAGUAGUUCACUUAGUUAAUUAAGUUCUAAAUAGAAAGUAAAAAUGUAAAAAAUAGUAAGCCCCAUGUGAGGAUACGAGUGGCAUAAAACCCAUAAGUACAUUCACUGUGGUGGCAUAAAAAUAAAAUAAAAAUAUUUUUCUGCUUUAUAAAAUAAAAAUAUAAAAACAGGGAGUAAUAAUUAUUAAGGAGUCUCAACAUGAUAAAUGCUAGAUAUUUAUGCUAACACUUAAUCAGUUCCACAAGCUUUGUUGUCUAUUUGAGCUCCACAGAAUCAAGAAGACUGGCAGAUGGAGGAUAUUCUAAUCGCUGUCACAAUGCUGCUGACUUUCAAAUACACCGCCACCUGCUAGCUACAUCAAGAGAAAUUACGUCAAAAUUCAGCUUGGGGGAGAGCACCCCCAUUUAUCUCGAUAAGUAUUUCUAUCUAUCUAUCUUUAUACUUAUAUUAUUUUAGAAUAUAAAUAUACAUAACUAUGAAAAACCAAAUAAAGAUUUUAUGCUUAUAUAUAUAUGUCUUUUGCUUAGUGUGUUUAAUAAAUAAAUAAAGUGGCUAUGCUAAUCUGUAUCUAAAUAAAACUCAAGCAUGGAAAUGAUGAAUAGUUGCUCUGCCUAAUUUGCACAUUUUAAGUUCUCUCUCAAGUUUAGACAUAACUGUUAUAAUUUAAAGCUUGCUCUAGACUUAAACUUGUGGGAUGAAAACUUGAUAUGAAAUCUAAGUUGUUAACGAAUACGAUAUGGGAAGGUUGAGCUGCUGUUUAUCUGUUUCUAGAGAUGCUAGAAUUCUGGAGAAUUUUAUCUUUGUAAAUCUUUAAAAUGUUGCAUGAUGAGUUCCUGUAUGAUGAGAGUUUAAAUUCCUACCAUAGCCAUAUAUACAUGCUUGCUAGACUUCGAGCCACACAUUUACUUUUUACUGCUUAUGAGCAUUGAGUGUGGUCAAGCUGUGUAGACCCUUGGGAGCUUGUCAUGUGAUUAAAUCAAGAUUCACUUGCACGUUCACUCACACAUGCUACUUCUACUCCGGAAGUACCAUCCACAUAUAUCCAUACAUUUCCAUCUCCAGAAUCACCCAAAAAUAUUCUACUCCUAAUUCGGGAGAGAAUAGCCAAAAAUAAUUUUGUUCUUCCUUGUGAAAUAAAUGCUCAAGUUAUCUUGUUACUACCACUUGCUAUAUUAUCUCAAGAGAUGAGUGCUCUAAAAAAAAGAAAGAAAAAUACGAGGAAAUAAAAAGGAGCAAGUGCUCGGAACCUCAAAAGAAAAGAAAAAGUGAGACGAGAGGUAAAAAUGGACAAGUGUCCGACAGUAGAAUUAGGGGUACAAGAUACCCAGCUGAGAGAAAAGAAAAAUAUAGAGCAUCUCAUUCUCUUCAUAAAGUUUCAAAAAGCAAGGAAGGUAUGUAUCCCCUCAAAAGAAGUAGAAUUAGACUUCCACCACCAUUGUUUCCAUCAUUGUUUUCACCACUGUUAUCACCAUUCAUUCGCCACACUUGCACAUCUUGAUUUGGCUUAUAGAUUUGUUUCUUUGGAUCCAUGGUUUGACUAUGCAAUAAAUGUCUUGUAAGUAUGUAUAUUUUAUCUCCCACCUAUGAGCCCCAGAUAUUAAAGCCUUAUUAGAGUAGGGUGAGAGAGAAGGCAAUGUCACUAUGCCUUAUAUCAUAAAUACCACAUAUCUUGAGAGAAGGCAAAUACCAUCACUGCCUUGGUAAGGAUCCAGAAAUACCACAAAAGAGAGAUCUGAGAGAGUCAUACAAGGAAUCUCUGAGUUUUAUUUGAAAAUCUGCAAAAAACCCCAGAGCUAUAGCUGAUCAAGAAUAAGAGACAUGGCACUUGACUAGACUGUUCUAUCUUUUAACCUCUCAAGAAAGAAGUGACAGUUACAAGUCCCAUGGUGAAAGGUAAAGUAAGUAAGUUUUAAGUCUUGAUAGUUUACUCUAACUCAGAGAUAAGAUCUUAUCUAAAAAGCAUGUGUACCGUCAAUUUUUAAAGAUAUUCCAACAACUUAUGAUCCAUAGCUGAGUCUAUCCUUGCUCAGGGACGAGCAAGAGGUAAGCUUGGGGGAGUUUGUUGACGGUCCUUAAGUAUCAAAUUUAAUUAUCAAAUAAACAAAGAAAAGGAUCCAAAUGAAAUCAACAUCUAGACUUAGGGUUUUAUCUGACAGAAUUCCACGAGUUUUGGUGUUUGUCUAUUUCUACAGGGGGUUAUCAGGAAAUAAGGAAGAAAGGCCCACAUGUCGGGAUUACAUAGAGAUAUCAACGCACCGCACAAUUUUCUACCAUUUAGAAGACUCCAGGUGCCACGGGAAGGAAGCGGAGGCCGAAAGGGGCCAGGCCCAGGGCGCCCGCCCACCUCUAGACGCCCUUCGGGACUCUCUUCGCACACGACGUUCCACCGACCUAUUGGAUUAAGGAAAACAUAGUACCACCUCGCCUACCGACCCAAAAACGCAUAGAGGAGGAGGACUAUAUAAGGAGACCCCCCUGGCCCCUAGAGAAGACAAGAAAUUAUCAUAGAGAUUGAGGGGUGCCCUCGAAGGAAAACCUCUUCUCUAAUUAAUAUUUCUUUUUAGGCUUAGCAACCAAUGUAAUGUAGAAAUAGAUGUUCUAGUUUCUACUAGAUUGAGAGAGAUAGAGUGGAGGUGUAGAUUGGAGGAAGCCCGGCCUGUCGGUGUCUACUCCAAGCUUGUACCUACGGGAUCAAGCUCUCCUAACCCGAAGCUUGCUCCUAGGAUUCUUCAGUAUUUCGACUUCUAAAUUCUAGUAAGUUCUUGUUUUAUUGUUCUUAUGGUUUAUGAGUUUACUUUAAUCUUUUCGCAUAGAGUUUAGAGUAAUCAUUACUGGCGUAAACGUGGUGUUUAGGCUAGGGUACUCAUAGAUAUUCCCUGACUAGCUGGACCGUGGUAGUAGUGAGGAAUGUGACAAUUCUGAGUUACCUUUGUAGAUCACAUCUCGUUAGCAGGAAGGAUAAGGUUUAUAGGUGCGGGUUGAACAUCCUUUGUGGUGUCUAGAUUCCGUUAGCCUCCCCAUUAGAACAGUAGAUCAUCCUUACCAAGGUUAGAAGGAGACUACAGUUGCAGUCUUCUCUAUUUAUCACUCACAUCGAGAGACAUUCUUUGUAGCCUAAAGGGAUAGUAGCAAUAGAUUUGGUUAGUCAGAUGCACCCUUUCUCCCAGUGGUAAAAAUAUAAAUACGAUACUCUGGAAAACCUCCCGGGUGAAAUGCUCACCGAUAUCCGUGCGCUUGCGGAUCAUUUCCUUAUUGCGUUACCAAAUAUCAACAAGCAUUUCUGGCGCCGUUGCCGGGGAGAAAGACGGUUUGCUGAGAUAACUUUGAGUCUUGCUAUUAUCUUGUAUUAUACUUUUAUACUUUUAUUCUUUUAUCUUUUUAUCUUUAUGGAUAUCUCAAAUUCCAUAACUAUUAUUAAAUUAUUUGCACCUUCGGAGACCAGCCAUAGACCAUGGGAGUCAACACGUCCUGCCCCUAAUUAUGAUCUGUGUCCGGAGUUGAUUGCAAUAGGUCAAAACCAACCCUUUUCUAUAGCCGAGGUCCUAUCUUUUAAUCAAGAAGAUAAUGCACUUUUAGCUACACCUAGGGAAUCGGUUAAUCUUUCUAUAAAUUCUGGUUUAGACCUAGCCCUGCAAGAUCAUGUUUUUCCUAGAUAUUUUCACAUUGGUCUUAAUCAUAUAACCUUUGGUGGAGUCCUUCUUUCUUUAUUAGUUAGUAACGGAAGGUAUGUCUUCAUUCGUGGACAUCCUUCUUGUACUAGUCUUCAUAGAAAAAUCAUAGCGAUAGAGAAGGAAUCAUCUCCCAUACAAGGAGAGGAAGUUUCAAUAGCCGAUUUCCAAACUUUCCAAUCCCAUGAUUCGGCUAUCCAACCCAUCCUUGAGCCUAAUAAUCUCUACUAUGCUCUUUCUCUUGAACCUCCCGAUAAUCCUAUGAAUCUCUCUAGACAUCCCAUGCAUAAGAAGGAGGAUCGAGAAGAGCAACAUCAAUGGCUAGAGGGCAUUAAAAAUUCAUGUGCUAUCACCACAUUUGAGAUCUCCAACCCUCUCUUCUUUUCUAUUUAUAAAAACUUUAAAAGAGCGGUUGUCGAUGCAUAUGUCUAUAAUAAAUAUUGCAGAUCUCGAGUUAAUUGAUGGUUUCCCAAGGACAAGCUUAGUGUCCUAAAACAAGCACUUAUCAGAUCGUAAUAUGAACUUCUAAUUACUUGCAACAUUACCUUGUGUAUUGAGCAUAUAAGAUAAUUGUAGAAAUAUUCCUUCGGGUAUUCUUGUCACUAACCUUUCUAGGAUUGGAGCAAGAAGACCGGAUGAAUGACAAGCGCAGGGUAUGCCCAACCAAUCAACAUGCAACAUUGAAUUAAAUUCAUCCAAUCUUGAAUUUUGCAAAAUUCUAGCUUAGGGGAGUACUUCACAUAAAAACAUCCUUUGCCAUGUUGCUAUGUUGGUUGUCCUUACCUUUGAGACAUGCUCAAUUUGUUAAAUACUAAUCACACUACUUCAUCUCCACUUAAGUAGAUCUCUAUAAAUGCCAUCACGCUACCUUUGUUUAUCAUAGUAAGUGUUAGUUUGGAAGUACUGCACAUACUUCUAUUGGCUUUUAAAUUAAGCAUGGUGCUUAGGUUAAACAGUCUUCCUUAAUCUGAUUAGACAUGGAGUCUAGUUCGGUUAUCGAACUAAAAAUUGCUUGUGUAGACAUUGGUAUAUUUUGUGGCACUAACCCCUGCAGGAAAACUUUCAAUAUCAACCUGGGAAGUCCUGAGAUAAACUCACAUUGGAGAUGAAGAAAGUGACACAUGAAGUUUAACAAUUUGCACAAGAGAAACGUAGCUCAUAAGAGAUGAUCCAUGGAGGGAGCCACAAACACGAUGCACAACCGCUAGAAAGGAAAGCUUCUACAAGGUGAUACUCUACCAUCACUCUUCAAAGGUAACAUCUUAAGGUACUUGACUAUCCUUUUAUAAGUUUCUCCUUGGUUCUGGCGUUCACAUAAAUAAAGAGACAAACAUGUAUGAUUUAUAACUCUAAAUUAACCAACCUAACUAAUUCAACAUGUUUAGUCCCUUAAUCUUUGUUCUUAGUACUACCUUCGUAAUCCCACGCUCCUAAACAUAUAAGCUAAUAUGUUGCACAUUCAAUCUUUGGAAGAUAAAAACAAAACAUAAAUAUAGAUAGAUUAUCUUUCCAUUAUGUUGAGCCAUCUGAUCUAACAAAUGUUUUAAAUGCAACACUCAUGAUCCAUCAACUUUGUCUUGCUCACUAUGCUUAAGGUUAGAAAAGAACAAAUACACUUUUGGUUCUGUUGGUGUUUUCCACCAACAGAGCCCAUGCACUUGAUCUCUGCCUUGUCUCUAUGAGCAGGACACAUUUUGAGAAACGUGAAGGCGUUUUACAACUCCCAGAUUCCAUUAAGUGUAGAACCGGGAUCUACGAGCACAAACACAAUGGAGAUCAGACACUUAGUUUCCCAAAGGAAAUAUUAAAGAACCUCUUUGUCCAAGUUGGUACCUUGUACGCUCCAGCAAACUUCAUGGUGAUAGAGACUGGUACUGAGGAGAGGGCACCCAUCAUCUUAGGGAGGCCAUUCCUAAACACCAGAGCUGUCAUCUACGCUAAUGCUGCCAAGAUCAGUCUCUACAUCAAGGGGAAGAAGGAGACUUUCCUUCAAGAACAAGACUACAUAAACUUCAGAGCAAUCCUGACUUGAACCAAGGAAGAGGACCAACAGGAGGAACAGGAACAAGCAAAUGUGGACCGAGUCAGCUAAGAUGGUCACUACAGCUCAAGGAGGUCAAGAUCGUUGACUCAAGUCACCUUUCUUGAUCAAGAAGGACGACCCUGGUGUUCCAAGCAUCGAGUGCACAACCAACAGAUACUCUUUUUAGAAAACACUCUACGACACCGGAUCUAACGUCAACAUAAUGGCCGCAGUCACUUAUCAGCUCCUGCAUGGAACCAUGCCCCUACAACCAAUAUAUAUUUAGCUCCAGAUGAUUUUCAGAACAUUGACAUGGGAGAAGACGAGUACGAUCCACCCAUCAUCCUUGGAAGACCAUUCCUCAACACUAUUGAAGUUAUCAUCUACAUUGGAACCGGAGAAGUCCACGUGUAUUUCCCCUCUGAGAAGGUACGCCAUUACUUUAAUGAUUCUAACCAUAUAGUUGAAGAUUCUAAGCAGGUCAGGACAAGAAGAAGACGACGCAACCGCAACCAGAGGAGGCAAAUCAUCAAGGACGGAUGGGCAGACUACGAAGGAGAAGUUGUAAGGUCAGAAGACGUUGAGUUUAAACAGAAUUAUCCAGAGGAGACCAAAACACCAAGUCAGGUGUGGAAAAUGAAGAUAACUAUACAUGAAGAGGAGGCGCUGCCGGAAGUACCGACUACGCCACCCAACGAACCUCAGGAUAAUUGAGAAGGAGGAGAGUCCCGUUCGGAGGACUUAAAAACACCGAACGCCUUGCCAAGAGGUAAACUUGGUAGUUAUCCUUUCCCUUUCAAUUAUUUCAAGUAGUUCACUUAGUUAAUUAAGUUCUAAACAGAAAGUAAAAAUGUAAAAAAUAGUAAGCCCCAUGUGAGGAUACGAGUGGCAUAAAACCCAUAAGUACAUUCACUGUGGUGGCAUAAAAAUAAAAUAAAAAUAUUUUUCUGCUUUAUAAAAUAAAAAUAUAAAAACAGGGAGUAAUAAUUAUUAAGGAGUCUCAACAUGAUAAAGGCUAGAUAUUUAUGCUAACACUUAAUCAGUUCCACAAGCUUUGUUGUCUAUUUGAGCUCCACAGAAUCAAGAAGACUGGCAGACGGAGGAUAUUCUGAUCGCUGUCACAAUGCUGCUGACUUUCAAAUACACCGCCACCUGCUAGCUACAUCAAGAGAAAUUACGUCAAAAUUCAGCUUGGGGGAGAGCACCCCCAUUUAUCUCGAUAAGUAUUUCUAUUUAUCUAUCUUUAUACUUAUAUUAUUUUAGAAUAUAAAUAUACAUAACU